CUAUCUUAUGCAGACCGAUUCAACAAUUCAUUGCUGAUUUCCUUGGACGCAACUUGCUCGGAGUAUUUUCUCACACUCUUGCCGUCACAAUUUGUCUGCUCUUGCAGCGCAGCGGUCUAAAUGUAACAAGUGAAGUUGAAGAGAGAGAUAUUGGAGCCCAGAACAAAGUGUCCUUAGAGGAGUUGUGUCAGCCUAAAAGUGUGGACAUUUUUUAGCCUCCGGCGAAACCUAGAGUCUAUACGCCUUCGCCGCACGACUAAAAAACGGGGGCAUCUUAUCUUGGGGCAAUACCCGCAUAUAUCAGAGGGCUUACAGAUUAUUGGCAUGCUGCAUACUUUAUUGAGAAAAACUGACUUAACCAAUGGAGGAUGGAUUGCACAUCGGCAACACAAAGAAAAUUUGCUAUUUUGAGGGAAAAAUUUUUGGAUACAUGACUC